AUGAAGUAUCUUGGGGUGCCAGUGACCUUUUCUUCUCUGCGAGUAGCUGACUGGAACUUUUUAGAGGCCAGAUUCAUUAAAAGAUGUGACUCUGGCUUGGGGGGCAAUGCCUCGUCUGGGGGACGUUUAACACUGCUUAAUGCUAAUAUUUCUAGCAUUGCCUUUUAUUAUAUGUCCAUGUACUUUUUAUCCAAAACUAUACUUGCCAGGAUUGACAAGUGUAGGAGGAGAUUCUUCUGGCAUGUGACCCAAAAUAAAAAACGAUAUUACCCGGUUAAGUGGACUAGAAUUUAUAGAUCCAAGAGUAAAGGGGGGUUGGGUGUGAAAGAUCUUCAUAAGCAGAAUCUCAGCCUGCUUACUAAAUGGUGGUGGAAGUUAGAAACUAAAUCUGGACUUUGGCAGGAUAUUGUGAAAGCUAAGUACUUCAGUAGGGCUACCGUGGCUGAUAUUAAAAUGAAGUGCAAUGACUCACCAUGCUGGAAAGCCAUUAUGAAGGUGAAAUAUCUUUAUAUGGCAGGGAGGAGAGUAAUUGUGCAAUCUGGAAACAUUGCCAGACUGUGGGUUGAUCCCAUUGGGGACAAUAUCCCUAUGGCUGAGCAGUUUCCUCAUCUUUUCUCUAUUUGCAAUUAUCCUGAGUGCACUAUUGAUAAAUGCUUAAAUGUUGAUCCCUCCUCAUUCUUUAGGAGAAGGUUGAAUAGUGAGCUUAAUGACCAGUGGGUUGUUGUGAGUAAAUUGGCUAGAGAAGCAUGUGUUUCAGACGCUGCUGAUGUGAUCAAAUGGGGCUUGGGUGGGAAAACCUCUUUUACCACCAAAUCUGUUUAUUCGUUCCUGGAAAAGAAUGUUGCUGGAUGCGAUUAUAGAUGGAUCUGGAGUGCCAGAAUCCCUCUCAAAAUUCAAAUAUUCUUGUGGCAACUUUUUCAGGAUGCUGUCCUGACUAGGGAUGUGAUGAAACACCGAGGGUGA
rnacentral:rRNA from 1 species